UACGUAGGUGGCAAGCGUUAUCCGGAUUUAUUGGGCGUAAAGGGAACGCAGGCGGUCUUUUAAGUCUGAUGUGAAAGCCUUCGGCUUAACCGGAGUAGUGCAUUGGAAACUGGGAGACUUGAGUGCAGAAGAGGAGAGUGGAACUCCAUGUGUAGCGGUGAAAUGCGUAGAUAUAUGGAAGAACACCAGUGGCGAAAGCGGCUCUCUGGUCUGUAACUGACGCUGAGGUUCGAAAGCGUGGGGAUCGAACAGG
rnacentral:rRNA from 1 species